UACGGGGGGGGGUAAGCGUUGUUCGGAAUUACUGGGCGUAAAGAGCGUGUAGGCGGCCAGGUAGGUCCGUUGUGAAAACUCGAGGCUCAACCUCGAGACGUCGGCGGAAACCCUCUGGCUAGAGUCCGGAAGAGGAGAGUGGAAUUCCUGGUGUAGCGGUGAAAUGCGCAGAUAUCAGGAGGAACACCGGUGGCGAAGGCGGAUCUCUGGGCCAUUACCGAUGCGCUGAGGAGCGAAAGCGUGGGGAGCGAACAGG
rnacentral:rRNA from 1 species